rnacentral:rRNA from 1 species
AUGGUUCUGACGCAUGUUCAGAGCGACGAGGCGGCCGCGUCGGCCGCCGUGUUCGCGUCGAGGUACGUGCAGGAGCCGGUCCCGAGCUACGAGCUCGGGGCGAGGUCGAUCUCCAAGGACGCGGCGUACCAGAUCAUCCACGACGAGCUGCUGCUGGACGGCAGCCCGCGGCUGAACCUGGCGUCCUUCGUCACCACCUGGAUGGAGCCCGAGUGCGACCGGCUCAUCCUCGAGGGCAUGAACAAGAACUACGCCGACAUGGACGAGUACCCCGUCACCACCGAGCUCCAGAACCGGUGCGUGAACAUCAUAGCGCGGCUGUUCAACGCGCCGGUAGGCGCCGGCGAGACUGCCGUCGGGGUCGGCACGGUCGGGUCCUCGGAGGCAAUAAUGCUCGCCGGCCUGGCGUUCAAGCGGCGCUGGCAGAACCGGCGGAAGGCGGAGGGGAAGCCAUACGACAAGCCCAACAUUGUCACGGGAGCCAAUGUUCAGGUGUGCUGGGAGAAGUUCGCGCGCUACUUCGAGGUGGAGCUCAAGGAGGUGAAGCUGAGCGAAGGGUGCUACGUGAUGGACCCGGACAAGGCCGUGGAGAUGGUGGACGAGAACACCAUCUGCGUCGCCGCCAUCCUCGGCUCCACCCUCACCGGCGAGUUCGAGGACGUCAAGCGCCUCAACGACCUCCUCGCCGCCAAGAACAAGCGAACAAGGUGGGACACCCCGAUCCACGUGGACGCGGCGAGCGGCGGGUUCAUCGCGCCGUUCCUGUACCCCGAGCUGGAGUGGGACUUCCGGCUGCCGCUGGUGAAGAGCAUCAACGUCAGCGGCCACAAGUACGGCCUCGUCUACCCCGGCGUCGGAUGGGUGAUAUGGCGCAACAAGGAGGAUCUCCCCGACGAGCUCAUCUUCCACAUCAACUACCUCGGCGCCGACCAGCCAACCUUCACGCUCAACUUCUCCAAAGGGUCCAGCCAAAUCAUCGCACAAUAUUACCAAUUUCUUCGGCUAGGUUUCGAGGGGUACAAGAAUGUGAUGGAGAACUGCAUGGAGAGCGCCAGAACGCUCCGGGAGGGGCUCCUGCGCACGGGGCGUUUCGACGUCAUCUCCAAGGAAGACGGCGUGCCACUGGUGGCCUUCACCUUCAGGGGCAUCAGGGACGGCUCGCUGGCGUUCAAGCUGUCGGCGAACCUGCGCCGGUUCGGGUGGAUCGUGCCGGCGUACACGAUGCCGGCGAACCUGGAGCACAUGACGGUGCUCCGUGUGGUCGUCCGGGAGGACUUCGGCCGGCCGCUCGCCGAGAGGUUCCUGUCGCACGUGCGCAUGGCGCUGAGCGAGCUGGACCUGGCGGCCAAGGGCCCCGUGCCCAAGAUGAGGCUCACCAUCGAGCUCGGUCCGGCCAGGAGCGCCAAGGAGGAGGCGUCCGUCAAGGUCGUCAAGAGGGAGGCGGUGUCCGGUCACAGGAGCGUGUCGCUUGUUUCCGGGAAGACGAAGGGUGUGUGCUAA